rnacentral:rRNA from 1 species
AGAGUUUGAUCAUGGCUCAGGACGAACGCUGGCGGCGUGCCUAACACAUGUAAGUCGAACGGGACUGGGGGCAACUCCAGUUCAGUGGCAGACGGGUGCGUAACACGUGAGCAACUUGUCCGACGGCGGGGGAUAGCCGGCCCAACGGCCGGGUAAUACCGCGUACGCUCGUUUGGGGACAUCCCCAGAUGAGGAAAGCCGUAAGGCACCGACGGAGAGGCUCGCGGCCUAUCAGCUAGUUGGCGGGGUAAUGGCCCACCAAGGCGACGACGGGUAGCUGGUCUGAGAGGAUGGCCAGCCACAUUGGGACUGAGACACGGCCCAGACUCCUACGGGAGGCAGCAGUGGGGAAUCUUGCGCAGUGGCCGCAAGGCUGACGCAGCGACGCCGCGUGUGGGAUGACGGCCUUCGGGUUGUAAACCACUGUCGGGAGGAACGAAUACUCGGCUUUGCCGAGGGUGACGGUACCUCCAAAGGAAGCACCGGCUAACUCCGUGCCAGCAGCCGCGGUAAUACGGAGGGUGCGAGCGUUGUCCGGAAUCACUGGGCGUAAAGGGCGCGUAGGUGGCCCGUUAAGUGGCUGGUGAAAUCCCGGGGCUCAACUCCGGGGCUGCCGGUCAGACUGGCGAGCUAGAGCACGGUAGGGGCAGAUGGAAUUCCCGGUGUAGCGGUGGAAUGCGUAGAGAUCGGGAAGAAUACCAGUGGCGAAGGCGUUCUGCUGGGCCGUUGCUGACACUGAGGCGCGACAGCGUGGGGAGCAAACAGGAUUAGAUACCCUAGUAGUCC